rnacentral:rRNA from 1 species
GGGGGGGGACAAGCGUUGUUCGGAAUUACUGGGCGUAAAGGGCGCGUAGGCGGCCUUCUCAGUCGAACGUGAAAUCCCUCGGCUCAACCGAGGAACUGCGUCCGAUACUGGAGGGCUUGAAUCCGGGAGAGGGAUGUGGAAUUCCAGGUGUAGCGGUGAAAUGCGUAGAUAUCUGGAGGAACACCGGUGGCGAAGGCGGCAUCCUGGACCGGCAUUGACGCUGAGGCGCGAAAGCCAGGGGAGCAAACGGGAUUAGAUACCCCGGUAGUCCUGGCCCUAAACGAUGAAUGCUUGGUGUGGCGGGUAUCGAUCCCUGCCGUGCCGAAGCUAACGCAUUAAGCAUUCCGCCUGCCCAGUACGGUCGC